AAGACCUUGCGCUUUUGGAGCGGCCGAUGCCUGAUUAGCUAGUUGGUGGGGUAAUGGCCUACCAAAGCUUCGAUCAGUAGCUGGUCUGAGAGGACGGCCAGCCACACUGGGACUGAGACACGGCCCAGACUCCUACGGGAGGCAGCAGUGGGGAAUUUUGGACAAUGGGCGCAAGCCUGAUCCAGCCAUGCCGCGUGAGUGAAGAAGGCCUUCGGGUUGUAAAGCUCUUUCAGCCGGGAAGAAAAGGUUGCGAUUAAUAAUCGCAAUUUAUGACGGUACCGGAAGAAGAAGCACCGGCUAACUACGUGCCAGCAGCCGCGGUAAUACGUAGGGUGCGAGUGUUAAUCGGAAUUACUGGGCGUAAAGGGUGCGCAGGCGGUUUUGUAAGUCAGAUGUGAAAUCCCCGGGCUUAACCUGGGAACU
rnacentral:rRNA from 1 species